rnacentral:rRNA from 1 species
GACGAACGCUGGCGGCGUGCUUAACACAUGCAAGUCGAACGGAAAGACCCUGCUUUUGUGGGGUUCUCGAGUGGCGAACGCGUGAGUAAAACGCGUGUAACCUCCCCUUGACUUUGUGAUAACUUCAGGAAACUGCGGCUAAUAUCGGAUAGGAUAUCCUGCUGCAUGGUGGGGGAUGGAAAGUUUCGGCGGUUUUGGAUAGAUUCGAUGCUUAUCCGCUUGUUGGUGUGGUAGUGGCUUACCAAGCUUGUGACGGAUAGGCGGCAUGAGAGGGUGAACGGGCUCAAGGGGACUACGAGACGGAGCAGAAUGCAACGGGAGGCAGCAGUGGAGAGUAUUGCACAAUGGGGGGAAGCCUGAUACAGAAACGCUGGGUGCGGAAUGCCGGCUUUCGAGGGGAAAACAACUUUCGCCUGUGAUGAAGAGGGAGUGACGGUAAUGGGUAAAAAAGCACCGGCUAACUACGUG